rnacentral:antisense_RNA from 1 species
GUUCGCGGCGGCUGUGUGCGGGACACGUUUCGACGUGGCUGAGUUUGAUGGCCCUCAGUUUCCUACUCCCGCGCACGGCUGCCACCCAA